UACGUAGGGGGCAAGCGUUGUCCGGAUUUAUUGGGUGUAAAGCGCGUGCAGGCGGCUCGUUAAGUUGGGUGUGAAAGCUCCCGGCUCAACUGGGAGAGGUCGCUCAAGACUGGCGAGCUAGAGUAUGGUAGAGGAAGGUGGAAUUCCGGGUGUAGUGGUGAAAUGCGUAGAUAUCCGGAGGAACACCAGUGGCGAAAGCGGCCUUCUGGGCCAAGACUGACGCUCAGACGCGAAAGCUA
rnacentral:rRNA from 1 species